UCCAGACUCCUACGGGAGGCAGCAGUGGGGAAUAUUGCACAAUGGGGGAAACCCUGAUGCAGCAACGCCGCGUGAGUGAAGAAGUAUUUCGGUAUGUAAAGCUCUAUCAGCAGGGAAGAAAAUGACGGUACCUGAGUAAGAAGCCCCGGCUAACUACGUGCCAGCAGCCGCGGUAAUACGUAGGGGGCAAGCGUUAUCCGGAUUUACUGGGUGUAAAGGGCGUGCAGCCGGGAAGACAAGUCAGAUGUGAAAUCCCGCGGCUCAACCGCGGAACUGCAUUUGAAACUGUUUUUCUUGAGUGCCGGAGAGGUCAUCGGAAUUCCUUGUGUAGCGGUGAAAUGCGUAGAUAUAAGGAAGAACACCAGUGGCGAAGGCGGAUGACUGGACGGCAACUGACGUUGAGGCUCGAAAGCGUGGGGAGCAAACAGGAUUAGAUACCCUGGUA
rnacentral:rRNA from 1 species